GUGGGGAAUCUUGCGCAAUGGGCGAAAGCCUGACGCAGCCAUGCCGCGUGGAUGAUGAAGGUCUUAGGAUUGUAAAAUCCUCUCACCGGUGAAGAUAAUGACUGUAGCCGGAGAAGAAGCCCCGGCUAACUUCGUGCCAGCAGCCGCGGUAAUACGAAGGGGGCUAGCGUUGCUCGGAAUUACUGGGCGUAAAGGGAGCGUAGGCGGACAUUUAAGUCAGGGGUGAAAUCCCGAGGCUCAACCUCGGAACUGCCUUUGAUACUGGGUGUCUUGAGUGUGAGAGAGGUGAGUGGAACUCCGAGUGUAGAGGUGAAAUUCGUAGAUAUUCGGAAGAACACCAGUGGCGAAGGCGACUCACUGGCUCAUUACUGACGCUGAGGCUCGAAAGCGUGGGGAGCAAACAGGAUUAGAAACCCUGGUAGUCC
rnacentral:rRNA from 1 species